rnacentral:tRNA from 1 species
GGGGCUGUAGCUCAGCUGGGAGAGCGCCGGAAUCGCACUCCGGAGGUCAGGAGUUCGAUCCUCCUCAGCUCCA